ensembl:lncRNA
CCAGCAUCCUCUCUGAACUCGGUGGUACAGUGGAGAGGACAGGAAACAGAUCCAGGCCAGGAUGUCGGGUUGAGAAAACCGAUGAUUUCUCAGUACCAAGACGAGUGGGUGUCAAUGAGGAUAAAAAAGAGCAGCCUGAAUGGUUGGUGCGAGAGCUGCUGAAACAGAACAGGCGGCGACACUCUGUUACACUUGGAGACACAGCUCAAUCCAUGAGUCAACAACACCACAAUAUUGAUUCAACUGGCAGUCUCAAGAUUGAUGAGAAGAUAUCACUUGAAAACCUCCAGCAACUGAAACUAGCAUUUGAGGAAUUUGAAACAGGGGGCUUGAGAUGCAUUGAUGUGAACAAUUUUGGACGUAUAGUGAAGAAGUGUUUGGGUUUGCCUAACACAAGCAAUGCUGAGAUUCGAAGGUUGUUUAAGAAGAUUGAUUAUUCAGGCCAAGGAAAAAUUUCAUGGGGUGAGUUCUGCACGCACAUGCUGCAGGAGUAUAAAGAAAAGGAGGAAACGGCAAGACGCAGCAAGCAGGUGGCCUUCAUUUUACCAGCCACCAUGAAUGCCUCCGGUCACGGCAUCUCUAUCGUCAACAUCCACUCAACCAGUGAUGGCACUGUGGUAACAGUGCGGGAGGAUGGGUUUGUUUCCCUCUGCAGCCCUGAGCUUAAACCCCAGAAGACAAAACACAUGUUUAACGAAGGACCUGCAAAUAGAAAGUCAAAAUGGGCGAGUGACUUUACGCUGAUGGUGGAGUACAACAAGCUGAUGAUCACAACAGGAGACAGAGAGAUCCAGCUUUAUGAGCUUUCCACUUUGGAACCUUAUUGUCAGAUCAAUGCCCUCGACACAAUACCUUUGACUGUAGACUACAACUACACCGGCUCUGAUAAAUGCUGUGUUCUGUAUGGAGACACUG